CGAUGUCGAAAUCAAACAGGCGACGAAACAGUGGACUCACGUUUCCUCCUCGGCCUGGACCAGCCGCAGCCGCCGCCGCCGCCGCCAAGUGUGCCCCGCGAAUAACGUGAGUCACGGGAGCCAGCGGAGAGAUCAUUGAGGAGGCGACGCGGCGACGACGCUGCAGCAGCUGCCGAGGCUCGCGACAGACACGCGGAGAGGAUGGUACCUACGUGCUCUCAGCGCGACCGACGACGACGGCGACGCACGCACAGAACGGCCAUUACUCGGCCGCGAGCCUCGCGCCAGUGUUGCUCGUGAGAGACACGACGACGAUGACGACGGCGGUGGUGGUACCAGGCCGGUCGCUCGCACCGAACUCGCGGAGAGGAGAGAAGCGAGGCGGCGAUUCGUUCUCGCGACCCCACCCAUGCCCGCUCGUCCUCCGCGAGCUGAGAGGAAGAAGAAGAAAAAAAAAUGCCUCGGGUGCCCACGCGUCGCCACACGCUGGCUGCACACGACUGGGAUCUGGACGGUGUUAAUGGUAGCGUUUCCUAGAGCAUCCCCUCCACGGGGCUCGUCGGUUGGGUAGGGCUCUAUACUCGACGGACAAGUAGUUCGGGAUCGGGGUUGCGCCGUAGAUCUCAGGAUUACGUCUGUGUGAAUUAUUUAUAUACACAGUCGGAAAAUUUAUGUUGAAUUUUACAUAUACCUAUCCCAUGUUCCAACUCGGGUUUUUGUGUUAAUUUUGCAAAUGUGAAUACGUCGCAAGAAAACUAAUGCAAUUAUUAUGCAAAAAGUUAACACAAAAAGAGUACAACUCUUCGACACGGUUUGAAAACUAAACGUAAAGAGAUAUUUCUUUAGUAAAAUUAAUAUUUAUGAUACGUACAUUUUAUUCAUUUUUUUUAAGAAUCUUCAAGUUUGUGUUUUAAUUUAUCUAUAAAUUGUGUUAUUUUAAUACUUUAGAAAUGUCGAAUAUCAACUUGAGACAAAUAUUCAAAUAACAUGAUCACAUUGUGUUGAAUUAACACUUGGAUGUUAAAAAAUAAAUACAAGAAAUUUAACAAGAACAAGAAAAAUAUGAGUCAUAGGAUUAAAAUUUGCUUUCAAAAGUAACAGUCUUUACUCGCAUUAGUUUGCAGUAAAUGUUACUUUCGACAGCAGCAAAACAAUUUUAUAAAAAAAACAAACAUUACUGUUUUCUUUUCACUAAUUUCUGUUUUACAUAUUUUACUAAACUCGAUUUAUUUUAUUAAAAAAAAAAAAAAAAACUAAUAAGCUUCUCUUCAAACAACUGUGGAGAUUAUACGAGAUAUCUAAUCUUUAAGAGAUAAUAUAUGUGCUUCUACUUGAGACACAAGUAUUAUCACUAUCGCGUUUAUUCUCGCUGAUAGGAACCAAUGAUCGGAAUCUUUCAGGGACAAAGAAUGAAAUACAAAUACGACAGUAUGAGUGUUAAGCUUUUUCGUUUAUUGAAAAUAUCUCUGUAAAACGUGUGUAUAUUGUGGCCGGGCGAGGUAAGCCGACAAUACCGAAUCUUCGACAACGAAAUGAAAUCGGGUAGCAAACGAAGAGAUACGGUGAAGACAUUGAAAACAAUAUAGUCGAUCGUAUUUUUAGUAUCUACAUAAGUAAAGGACGAAUCAACGAUGCAUUCGCUUACUUUUUAAUCUUAUUAUUAAUUAUAUUAUGUAUAACAAAGCGGUAACAACUUGUUAAUUGUAACUAUUAUGAUAAUAAUCGUUUACUUUAUAUAAUUACAAUAAUAUAAUGUGUAAGGAUCAUUAACUAAUCGAUAACAAACGAAUCGUAUCCUCCUCCCUUUUUCUUCUCUUCAUAUUCAUCUUUUCUUUUCCUCGUAAUAUCCUCGUUUCAUCGCGUCCUCCUUUCGCUUUCCAUUUUUUGACCCAAUGUCGAUCGUUUUAGCGCAAAUCGUUUUGUUAUUAUUAUUUUUUUUUCGCUUAUCCCCCCCUCUCAUUUUUGUAUUAAUUAUUUAACAACAGUUUUUUUUAUCCUCUUAUUAUAUUUGCUCUUUAAUUUAAUAAUCGUAGUAAACAUAGUAAUUAUUUAUAAUAUUGUGCAAAUAACCCAUAUAUUUAUAUUUAUAUUUAUUUAUAUAUAUAUAUAUUUAUAUUUUUUCCUUUCUUGUUAUUUAUUCUGUUAAUAAAAGUGUAAGUAAUGAAUGUCGUAUUCUCAACGGAGGAGCUUCUCUGUGUUUUUCAAUUUUUUUCGCGCGCGCGUGACACAAGUACGCGACUCGCGCGUGUCCGCACGACACGCACGAGCGCGUACGUACAUACACACACAUAUACACACACCCACAGACACACCACACACGCGCGCGCGCGCGCGCGCGCGUGCGUACCGCAGAUUUGUGUUUGUUCUUUAAAUGGACGAUCCUUCGCGCGGAAAAUUUUUUUUCUUUUUUUUUUCCUCUUUAAGUAUUUCGACAGCUAGCUUCUUCGUUAAAAUUGGAUUUCUUAUAGCACGUUUCUACCUAGCUUGACCCAUGGCAGUUGCUUGUUCAUUUAUACUGGCCGACAGGCUCCGCAGCUUGACACUUUACAAUGCUUUAGCCCAGCGCUCUAGGAUUUCUGUUUCAUAUUUAAUUAUUUAUUUACUUUUUUUACUCCAUUAUUUAUCAUUAUUUAUUAUCUCACGACGUAGGAUUAAUGAUUCGAGAGUAUCGAGACACUACAAAGCCACCCUUCUCCCUCUUUUUUUUUUACUUCUGCUAUCCGUUUAAGAAAAAUUUUUCGUGCAUUUACGAUUAGUUAACUUAUAGUUCUCUUUUAUACAUUGCGUAACGGCAGUAUCGUCCUCGGAAAAAGUAUGUUAAACCUCGCCUUACCUCGCUUAACGAAGGAAAGCACUAUUAAAUUUUUAUUUUCUCUUUUUGCUAUAUCUUACAGCCGUUGUCGCGCAAAAAG
rnacentral:lncRNA from 1 species